rnacentral:tRNA from 1 species
UUAAUCGUCCGGGAAUCUAACCCGGGCCACCCGCAUUGCAGGCGAGCAUUCUACCACUGAACCACCGAUAGUUA